rnacentral:rRNA from 1 species
AACGAACGCUGGCGGCAGGCUUAACACAUGCAAGUCGAACGCACCUUUCGGGGUGAGUGGCAGACGGGUGAGUAACGCGUGGGAAUCUACCCUUCUCUACGGGAUAGCUCCGGGAAACUGGAAUUAAUACCGUAUACGUCCUGAGGGAGAAAGAUUUAUCGGGGAAGGAUGAGCCCGCGUUGGAUUAGCUAGUUGGUGGGGUAUAGGCCUACCAAGGCGACGAUCCAUAGCUGGUCUAAGAGGAUGAUCAGCCACAUUGGGACUGAGACACGGCCCAAACUCCUACGGGAGGCAGCAGUGGGGAAUAUUGGACAAUGGGCGCAAGCCUGAUCCAGCCAUGCCGCGUGAGUGAUGAAGGCCCUAGGGUUGUAAAGCUCUUUCAGUGGGGACGAUAAUGACGGUACCCACAGAAGAAGCCCCGGCUAACUUCGUG